AGAGUUUGAUCCUGGCUCAGGAUGAACGCUAGCGGCAGGCCUAACACAUGCAAGUCGAGGGGCAGCGGGAAUAAGCUUGCUUUUUUGGCGGCGACCGGCGCACGGGUGAGUAACGCGUAUGCAACCUACCUUAUACUGAGGGAUAGCCCGGAGAAAUUCGGAUUAAUACUCCAUCGUAUUACGAUGUGGCAUCACAAUGUAAUUAAAGCUCCGGCGGAAGAGGAUGAGCAUGCGUCCCAUUAGUUUGUGGUUGAGGUAACGGCUCACCAAGACUACGAUGGGUAGGGGGCCUGAGAGGGUGAACCCCCACACUGGUACUGAGACACGGACCAGACUCCUACGGGAGGCAGCAGUGAGGAAUAUUGGUCAAUGGAGGAAACUCUGAACCAGCCAUGCCGCGUGCAGGAUGACGGCCCUACGGGUUGUAAACUGCUUUUAUUUGGGAAGAACCCCCUCUACGUGUAGAGGGCUGACGGUACCAAACGAAUAAGGACCGGCUAACUCCGUGCCAGCAGCCGCGGUAAUACGGAGGGUCCAAGCGUUAUCCGGAUUUAUUGGGUUUAAAGGGUGCGUAGGCGGGAAAUUAAGUCAGUGGUGAAAGCCCACAGCUCAACUGUGGAAUUGCCAUUGAUACUGAUUUUCUUGAAUGCGGUUGAAGUGGGCGGAAUAUGUCAUGUAGCGGUGAAAUGCUUAGAUAUGACAUAGAACACCGAUUGCGAAGGCAGCUCACUAAACCGUGAUUGACGCUAAGGCACGAAAGCGUGGGGAGCGAACAGGAUUAGAUACCCUGGUAGUCCACGCUGUAAACGAUGAUCACUCGACAUUGGCGAUAUACUGUCAGUGUCCAAGCGAAAGUGUUAAGUGAUCCACCUGGGGAGUACGAUCGCAAGGUUGAAACUCAAAGGAAUUGACGGGGGCCCGCACAAGCGGUGGAGCAUGUGGUUUAAUUCGAUGAUACGCGAGGAACCUUACCAGGGCUUAAAUGCAAUAUGACAGAUUGGGAAACCAGUCCUCCUUCGGGCAAAUUGCAAGGUGCUGCAUGGUUGUCGUCAGCUCGUGCCGUGAGGUGUUGGGUUAAGUCCCGUAACGAGCGCAACCCCUAUCCUUAGUUGCCAGCGAGUAAUGUCGGGGACUCUAGAGAAACUGCCCGCGCAAGCGGUGAGGAAGGUGGGGACGACGUCAAGUCAUCACGGCCCUUACGUCCAGGGCUACACACGUGCUACAAUGGUAGAGACAGAGGGCAGCCACUUGGUGACAAGGAGCAAAUCUUAAAAGCCUAUCUCAGUUCGGAUUGGAGUCUGCAACUCGACUUCAUGAAGCUGGAAUCGCUAGUAAUCGCAUAUCAGCCAUGAUGCGGUGAAUACGUUCCCGGGCCUUGUACACACCGCCCGUCAAGCCAUGGAAGCUGAGGGUACCUGAAGUCAGUAACCGUAAGGAGCUGCCUAGGGUAAAAUCGGUAACUGGGGCUAAGUCGUAACAAGGUAACC
rnacentral:rRNA from 1 species